ACUUGUUUGCGGCUCCCAGUAAUAAGAGGGCGCCUGUUCCAGCCUGGGCCCUGCUGGGCCCACGGUAAAAACCUUUCAGAAAGCUUUCCCUUUCAGGGAGGAUGCCUCGGAGGGAAUCACAGAAUCAGUUGGGUUGGAAAAGACCUCUGAGAUCAUCGAGUCCAACCUUAUGACGGAAGCACCUUGUCAACCAGAAAAUCCGUCUUUCCUUAAAACACUCCAGGGGCAGUGACUCCAUCACCUCCCUGGGCAGUUCAUUUCAGUGUGUAAUCACUCUUUCUGUGAAGGAAUCAUUCCUAAUGUCUGACUUGAACCUCCCCUGGCACAGCUUAAGACUAUGACUUAAAGCUGAUGGAAGGCCCCAUUGAAACCUUAGGCCCUGCUGGCAGGGAUAGACACCGAAUAGCACUGUCUCCGUGUGUGCCAGUGUGAUACCACAACAAAGACAGAGCCUGCUAAUUUUGAAGACAAUGAAACGUUCAGCAUAUAUUCCACAUAUCAGGUUUAACAUUCCCCGGUGCUACCUUAUGAAAAAGCAGAAAAUUACAUAGAUGGCCCUGAGACUUGUAAAAUUGCAAACAGGA